rnacentral:tmRNA from 1 species
CAAUUUAUAAAUGCUAACGAAAGUUAUGCACUUGCAGCUUAAUUAACUUAGUUAAUUAAGUUACGGGGUUUGGGGCACCUGGCAACAGAACGCCCCUUCU